UACGUAGGGUGCAAGCGUUGUCCGGAAUUAUUGGGCGUAAAGAGCUCGUAGGCGGUUUGUCGCGUCUGCUGUGAAAACUCGGGGCUUAACCCCGGGCCUGCAGUGGGUACGGGCAGACUAGAGUGCGGUAGGGGAGACUGGAAUUCCUGGUGUAGCGGUGAAAUGCGCAGAUAUCAGGAGGAACACCGGUGGCGAAGGCGGGUCUCUGGGCCGUAACUGACGCUGAGGCACGAAAGCGUGGGGAGCAAACAGG
rnacentral:rRNA from 1 species